GUACACGCUGUGACUAGCAUAUCAAUAAGCGGAGGAAAAGAAACUAACAAGGAUUCCCUCAGUAACGGCGAGUGAAGCGGGAAGAGCUCAAAUUUGAAAUCUUGAAAGGUCUACCUUGCACGAAUUGUAGUUUGAAAGAAGUGUUUUCUGUGACGAUCUGGUAAUAUAAGUUCUUUGGAAUAGGACAUCACAGAGGGUGAGAAUCCCGUCUAUGAUUGCGAUUUGUAGCUUUGUGAUACACUUUCAAAGAGUCGGGUUGUUUGGGAAUGCAGCCCAAAACGGGAGGUAAAUUUCUUCUAAGGCUAAAUAUUGGCGAGAGACCGAUAGCGAACAAGUACCGUGAGGGAAAGAUGAAAAGAACUUUGAAAAGAGAGUUAAAUAGUACGUGAAAUUGUCAAAAGGGAAGCGUUUAACACCAGUGUUGUUUUCUGAAAAUCAACCUCUGUUAGCUUUAUGCAUGUUUGUUUAGACCUAAUCAGCUAUCUUGCAUGUUCUAUUGUUUGCAGUGGUGCACUUUUCAGUUUACAGGGUCAACAUCAGUUUUUUUUUACCGUAAAAAAGUUAAAGAAAGGUAGCUCAUGGCUCCGGUCGUGAGUGUUAUAGUCUUUUUCCUAUGCGGUAGGAGAGACUGAGGUCUGCAGUGUAGGCUAUUUGGCUAGAUACUCAGGUGCUAUGUGAUACCAUUUCAUAAACAACUUGUUGAUUAUGUUUUGUCUAUUGCAUACUCGCUUGUACUAUCAUACCUACGCUUAGGAUGUUGAGUAGCGACAUACGCAC
rnacentral:rRNA from 1 species